rnacentral:tRNA from 1 species
UGUAGCGCAAUGGAUAGCGCAUUGAACUUUUAAUCCGAAGGUCGUGGGUUCGAAACCUACCUAA